rnacentral:lncRNA from 10 species
UUUGUUUGUUUUUGAGACAUAGUUUCGCUCUUGUUGCCCGGGCUGGAGUGCAGUGGCACGAUCUCAGCUCACCACAACCUCUGCCUCCUGGGGGGUUAAAUGAUUCUCCUGCCUCAGCCUCCCAAGUAGCUGGGAUUGCAGGCAUGUGCCACCAUGCCCAGCUAAUUUUGUAUUUUUAGUAGAGACGGGGUUUCUCCAUGUUGGUCAGGCUGGUCUCAAACUCCUGGGCUCAAGUGAUACUCCCACCUUGGCCUCCCAAAUGCUGGGAUUACAGGCGUGAGCCACCGCGCCCGACAUCUGUAGACAUAUUUAUUACCCAGCAUUUACCAUGCAGUUGUGACUUUUUAAAUCACUUAUAUUAGCACUUAGUUGUUUCCUGCCACUUAUCCUAAGUUUGUGCCUUCUUACACAGAAGAAAUCAGUGUUACCUGAAAAUUUGCUCAAGCCUGCUCUGGCCUUUUUCAUUUUUAAAGGUAGUUUUGAAAUAUACAGUCCUCAUACACAUGGUUCUGCAUCUGCAGAUUCAAAACCACAGAUCAUAAAUAUUUGGGGGCAAGAAAACAGUAAAAAAUAAUAGUAAAGACUAAUACAGAUUUUAAAAUAAGAGUAUAACAACUAUUUACAUAGCAUUUAUAUUGCAGCAGGUAUUACAAGCAAUCUAGAGAUUAUUUAAAGUAUACUGGAGGAUGUACAUAGUAUUAUAUGCAAAUACUAUGCCUUUGGGGCAGUUGAGUGACUUGAGCAUCUACAGACGUUAUCUUCAGAGGGUUCUGGAACCCAUCCCCUUUGGAUACCUGUAAAUCUUUAUUUUUUGACCUCUUCAGUGAAGACCAAGGUCAAGAAGAGGUUGCUAAAGACUUGUUUCAGAUUAUAUCUUAGAUUUAACAUACCACUUGGUAUUACUGGAGUUUUACUACAUUGAAGCUUAAUCUUCGUAUCUGUAAUUUAGUGUUGCUCCCACGUACUGUGCUGUAGGUCUCUCAUUUCCUUGCCUGAAUAAAAACCCCAAGUUAGCCAUGUAAAAUUUUUGUCUUUCUAGACUAUCUUAUAUUUCUCUUUUGUUUUCUACAAUAUUCCAGUUACUAGCUAAACAAAGAAUAGUCUUUGAGAAAGAGUGCUUUUGCUCUCAAUUCAGACAUUUGUUU